rnacentral:lncRNA from 10 species
UCCAGAUCAUGCCAUUGCACUCCAGCCCGGAAAAGAAGAGCAAAUCUAAACAACAACAACAACAAAUAAGUUAUUAGGGCAGGUCCUUGUCCUCCAUGACUAGUGUCCUUAUAAAAAGGGAAAAUGGCUAGGCACAGUGGCUCAUGCCUGUAAUCCCAGCACGUUGGGAGGCCAAGGUGGGGGGCGGAUCACCUGAGGUUGGGAGUUUGAGACCAGCCUGGCCUCCCAACGUGCUGGGAUUGCAGGCUUGAGCCACAGUGCCUGACUAGAAGUGUUAAUUUUGAGGAGUGAGACAUCUAGGUGGGUAAGACAAAGCUGGGAGGCAUCCAGGUACCUACACACGUAUUUAAAGCCAUGCAGCUGGAUGACAUUUCUGAGGGGUCGUGGAUAAAGAAGAACAGGCUGGGUGCAAUGGCUCAC